GAGAAGGACUCUCUAGGAAUCUGAGCCUCCGCUCUCUCUUCCCCUUGUAAGAGGACUCUCUAGGAAUCUGAGCGUUCCUCUCCCUUGGACCCUGGUUGGCUGGAGGUUUUGGGGGUAGCUUUGGGAGAGAGUGAGGAGGGGACAGUCAGGAACCAACAACAAACCAAGAGUCAACCUGGUCUUCAUUCCCACCUUAUAGGAAGAAAGAUGGGACGAAGAGAAGCCUAGUGGGUGGAGCAGGGAGGUGACCAGAGGAGGAGGAGGAGGCAAAGGCAAAGGGCUGCAGCAUCUUCUUGUUUGUGUCUUCUUUCUCGUUGGUCUCCUGUGUCCUGGGUUUGGCCUGUGAAAUGCUGGAAGCUCUAGUUCUACCUUUGAGGUAGUGGCUAUGUAAUUUCCCCAAAAGGAAGUGAGAUCCCCUGAAUCCAGGCUAGAGGGCUUCCUACAAAGAAAUCAGGAUGGAAGAUGUUGGGAAGGAGACCUCUCUGGAGAAAUGCUUGACUUGCCUUCAAAAGGACACCUCUUCCCUGAUCAGCCACUUUCAAGAUUGAAUUCCUAUUGAUCUAUGAAACCUUCUGGCAAAUGUUGGCUUAAAGGAGAGACACAAGGAAGGACUACUCAGCCUUCACCUGUUCACAGAGUAAUCAACAGGUUGCCUCCAAGAAGCCCACCAGGAGCCCUGAGUGCUGCCUGUGAGGAGUCCUGUGAGUUGUCUUGUCAAAUGCCUCCUUGGACAAUGAGGUCACAAUGGCAGGUUGUGAUGUGUCUCCAAGAGCCUCCCCUUUGUGACGCCUGGCUGAGCUCAAGAGUCAAUGAGGUUUCCAUGCCAUCUCCCAACCCUGAGAGGCCCCCAUCCUCCAAACAAGUGAACCUGAAGGACUGUUGUUGCAUGGUGUUUCCAAGCAAUCCUGGGUCCUGCAUCUCCUCAGUGGUGAGACUAGCUGUCAUGUGUUGGGAAUUGGAAAGUAGGCCACCUUUAGCGGGAUAUGCUGCUUUACAUCACACUUCCCUGGCCAGGGAAGGAGGGAAGGCAGACUCCCCAGAUGAACAGCUGCUCUUCUGUCCCAGUUGGCUUCAUAUUGUUGGGUUGUCUGUGGAGUUCCUACAUACGAGACAGAAGGUAGGUUGUGGAGGCUGCUAUGGGAUGCAGACAUCUAGAUUUGGAGUGCAAAAUAUUCACAAAAUGGUGCCUUGUUUAAUUAAGCUGCUGUUUUAACAAGCAGAACUGAUCGAGAAAAAUACCCCAAGCUUUUCAGGAGAAACCUGAAGAACAGUCAGGAUGAAGCAAAGCCAAGCUGUAGCUAAACACCUGUAACUUCAAUGUCUGAAAGGAGUAAUCUUGAGAGCAAUUAGACUGAGCAAAUUGGUGGUGAUUAUGAGAGGAUGACAUAAAUGUACUGGAGAUGUCUCAUCCAGAGGGUUGUCAUGAGUUGGGACUAAGCAGGAGCUCUGGUUACCCAGGAUGGAAAAUUUGGAAGCAUUCAGAAACAAUAGUACUGCAUCUUAUACUAAACUGAACUGAGUUCAGUUUAUUGACCGAAAUUUUACUGUUUCUUUCCUCAGCAAGCAAUAAUACACUUAAUAAAUAAAUAUCAAAUAAGAACAAUAGCAAUAACAAUGGAACAUUGUCUAAAUAGCUUAAUUUCCCUCUCCUGUUUGUAUUGCUUACUCUAGAGCUCCCAACCCCAGUUCUUUUACCUAGGGUUUCGUUGAUCUCGAUCCAAUCUAGGUGGGGCCCAAGGCAACUCCUUUUGCUAGCUCCUGUGUGCAGAGAUCUACUUCAGCAUCAGGGCAUCCACAGUGGGGUCAUAGAAGGAUCAUGCAUCCUGUAGAUUGUGGAAGAGGACAGUCCCGAGGUCCCUGACGGAGGAUCUUGCCAGCUCAGAGAUACAAUGCCAGUGCUUCAGGCAGUUCUCUUACGAGGAGAGCGACGUGCCCCAAGAGGUUUGCAGCUGACUCACCAUCUCUGCUCUUGGUGGCUGAAGCCACAGUGACACACAAAAAAUGAGAUCCUGGCCCUGGUGAUCCUGACCAUCUUGCCCCCAGAGGAGAAGAACCAGGUCAAGAAAUGUGGGGCAGUGGCCCUGGCAGAAGGUUUCCUCCUGAGUCAGGCAGAGAAGAAGCAGGAAGAGCAGCAGGUCAAGAAUCCCUUGGUAGAAGUUCACUCUGAAUUCCCUUUGGCUGUUGGACCCCAGGCAGAGUCCCCAAUGGAGAGUAAUCAAACAGAAGGGUGAUGGAGGGAAACCCUUGCAAGGUAAGGAUGAACAUUAGCUGUCCAGAAUCCUCAUUGUUAUGUCCUCAAGUUAUUUCCAUCUUAUGGUGACUGAGGACUAUCAUGCCUUUUUGUUUGGCAAGAUUUGGUCAGAGGUUUGAUGUUGUCUUCCUGUAAGGUUGAGAGAAUGUGACUUGCUCAGGGUCACCCAGGGAGUCUUCAUGGCCAAGUGGAAAUUCAAACCCUGCUGUCCACAGUCAUAGUCUGUUGCUAAAACUACUACAGUAUACUGACUCUAAUUUCCCCUCUGGAAGUAGUUGAAUCUUUUGGUCUGAUGCAGAACAACCAUGAUAAGUUCCAGAGUAUGGAAGAAAAGUAUUUCAUGCAGGUUCACUGAGGUUCCAGAUACAUCUGUAGAUGUGCAUUUGGUUCCAAAAAGACUGCACUUCCAUUGUGUAGUACUUGCAGUGCAUAUCUCCACAUGCAGAGAGUUAAGUUCUCCACCCUUGAUGUAGGGUCUCUGCCACUUUGUGUUCAUAUGUACACUUGUCCUUCCACAUUUGUGGCUUUGACUUUUGCAGAUUGACCUGAUUUUAUAAUCAUAUUUCUUAAUUUUAAUCACUUGUAUUUGCUUAUUCUCAUUUAUCCUCCCAAUUAAAACUUCCCUUAUCAAUACAAAAAACCGUGGGGAUAAUGGGCAACUUUGUCUUGUCCCUUUCAAUUUUAAAGGUUUUAAUUUUCUCUCUUUUAAUAACUAUUUAUGCCCUCUAUUCAUUAUAUAUUUUCUCUAUCAGCCAAGAUAACAUUGUCCCAGAUUCAUUUUUCUUAAUAUUGCCAACAUUGUAUCCUGGAUGAGGGAAAACAGACUCAGCCUGAAUCCAGAAAAAACGGAAGUACUCGUGAUAGGUUCCCCUGGUCCGGGAAUGGCGGUGGU